rnacentral:lncRNA from 1 species
CACGCAGCCCUGGUCGACGUCAAGAAUAUGCUGUCAUCUCUAAAAUAUUAGGUAAAUAUAAAAGUAAAGAAAAUAACAUGCAUAAUAUUGUGGCAAUAUACCUACAGGUCAUUCGUGAAAUGCCAGACCCCCUUGAACAGUCGAAAUAAAGAUCAACGAAGAAGGUGAAAAAGGCUGCAUUGAAAGAGCCUUUAAGUUCGAACCUUAUCUCCUCCGUUUCAUGGCUUCGAGUUUUUGUCAGAUGGUAAUAAUAUACUCGAUAUUUCUUCUUAUUGAUAGUUCCAUUAUUCGUUUUACAGCCCUGGUUACCAAAACAACAAAAGCAGCGACAAAUCCCAAAUUGCAUCGCUAAUAAGCGCACAACGGAAUUAGGACAUGUCCAAGACCUUAAAUCUGUACUGUACCCUGUCACCGAAGAACUGCAGUACAUCUGCAGUUUAGCUGCAAGUAUUGGCAGUUCGCAGGUUGAUUGAGCGAUAGGAAGCACAUGUGGAUGUUGACAGCUGAAAUGCUCUCAAAUGCUUUCCAUUGGGACAGGAUCGGAUGGUUACCUUGGCCAUGAGCAAGGAUUCGUAUGCAUAUAGGAUCAAGCGGUGCACUGAGAAGGUAAGUUGUGUAUUGAUUCUGGUAGUAGCUUUCUUUUUACAUAUGUAUGUAUUCCCGUUUGUUGUUUUCCAGAAAAUCGAAAACGAACGCGUCUCUCGCAGCUCUAAGAUUCACGGAUGGCUGAUGAGCCCGGUUCGCCAAUCGAUAUCCCAACAUUGGGAAACCUAUGUGUUCCAGUUGGAGCGUGAAUGCCCCGUCACCACAACCCUCUUCCCGCAGAAACGUUGAUGGGUCGUUGAUUCAUGCAAACUUGGGUGUACCUUUGAUCUGGAUAACUAGUUCCACAUCGAAGUUACCGAUUUCCACUCAGAAUAAUGCCAAGUCGGAUUAGAGCACAGGUUAAGAUUAUAACACAAAACAUACACAACAUUAAAAAAAUAUGUAGAUUUUGUAUAUCAAUAAAAAGUGUAGCUACUUUCACAAUGCUCGGAUAAUGCUGAUGGAACUUAUGCAUUUUCUUUCAGGGGGUCCUUUUAUUUUAAAAAUUAUGGCCUAAUUUCAGGUAAAACAGACGUAUCCUGCAGUCCUUGAGGUCCUUGAUGGAUUUCAAUCCUUCCGGAUGCAAGGACAUAAAGGACAUGUUUGUGUACAUUGUGUAUCCUUAGCAUAUCUUGCGACCAAAUCUGCGGGAGGAUGGUUGCAAUGACGUCGCGCUCACACUCCAGUUGGCCACCAAGAAGUUGAGAUAAAUGUUGGGGUACGACACCGCUAUCACAUCGGCCAAUGUGUGUGUUUGGAGAGCUGCAAGAUCCUCAUCCUUCAGCUCCAUGAUAACGAAAUCGGAUUUGAUUUUCUGA